CUCGAUCAGAACAUGAAGAACUAUAACAGACAGAAUUUUUAUUUUGCUGGAUAUCUGGAUACAAAUUAUACUCCUCAUUACAAACCUGAACAAACUCUUCUUUGAUACUGUUGCUCCUGGAUUGUUUGUUUUUUUGUUCCACUUUCUGUCAGCACCCCUAAAAUGUAUUUAUUUAUUGACUAUGACAUGUUUAUCGACUUAUAGCCUGAGAGUCGUUCGGGACAGACGACAAAGACAAG